CAGUCGCCGCGGGAAAACGGAGGGGGCUAGCGUUGUUCGGAAUUACUGGGCGUAAAGCGCACGUAGGCGGCUUGGUAAGUUAGAGGUGAAAGCCUGGAGCUCAACUCCAGAAUUGCCUUUAAGACUGCCGAGCUAGCAGGUGAGAGAGGUAAGUGGAAUUCCGAGUGUAGAGGUGAAAUUCGUAGAUAUUCGGAAGAACAUCAGUGGCGAAGGCGGCUUACUGGCUCAUACUGGACGCUGAGGUGCGAAAGCGUGGGGAGCAAACAGGAUUAGAUACCCCUGUAGUCCCUGUCUCUUAUAC
rnacentral:rRNA from 1 species